GUGAAAAUGAAGCUGAUAAAAAUGGGCUGCACGAAGCAACACUCUUCAAGCUUAGUGGAAUAUGCAAUUACUUUACACUAAUUCAUAAAAGCUAAAGAUCAGCGAAUCAUAUCGCCAUUUUAGCAUAUAGAAGCCACUUGGAGUUCUGUUUCCGUUCCUAAUCCUGGCUUUGAACAUUCAUAUACAAGGGAUAUCAGAUGAUUUUGCUUUGCCAGGUAUGCUAAAUCCUAAACUUCCUAUACUGAAUUGCCACCUGUUAUUCUUUGUACCCCUAAAGUAUCUAAACUUCUCGUCAUAAUUGAUGCAUACUUACAAUCAACAAGCCACUCAUUAUCCGUUGAGUAAACUUGAAGUUAAGUUUAUCUUUGCAGCAAAAUGUAGUUCGUACUUAUCUUGCCAUCUUGAAAUUUUGAUUGUGCUAUUUGAAAGUCAGUGGCCGUCAUAACCAGCUCUUCUGGAGCUGUGCAUAAUUGGCUCAUCUUCAUCUUCGUCUCCACCUUGAGUAGUAAAGAAUGGAGUGAGGUAGUUUUUGUCCAAUGCUGAGAACGAAGUAGUACUCUUGUGGAAUUCCUUAAGUUUCAUCCUGAACCUGUUCCCUGAUGACGGUUCACCAUCAUAAGAUUCAUCACUAUAAGAAGGAGCUAUAUAUCCAUUGUUCCCCUCAAAGGUUUCAUCCAUGGAGCCAGAUUGACCAUCACCCACAACUUCCAAAGCUUCUAGCAUGGUUCCUGUCGAUCCUCCAAUAAUCAAAACCGUUAAUACAACAAUGGCAGUGGUAGC
rnacentral:misc_RNA from 1 species